CGUGGUGGCGCCUGACACUUUGACUCAAACCUCUUUUCGUGAGUAGGUGAGCAAAGUUUCAGGUGUAUCUGCGC
ncrna:Capitella teleta microRNA cte-mir-87b precursor